ACAUAACUGAUGCCUCCGCGUAUCGACUUUGUGCGCAUUUUAGCUAUUAUGUGUUCUUUUAAAUUAAAAUGAUUCUUUUUAAGAUUCAUCUAUUAAAAAUUUGCUUCGGCAUAAUUUUUUUUGAUGAUCUUGUUACUUUGAGUAAAUUAGAGUGUUCAAAGCAAACAGAUAUAGCAUUUGUGCGUUUGAAUACUACAGCAUGGAAUAACAAAAUUGAACAAGUCAGAAUUUUUUUGUUCUUUUUUCUUAUUUUGGCUUAGUUACGAUUAAUAGGAGUAGCUUGGGGGCAUUUGUAUUCAGAUGUCAGAGGUGAAAUUCUUAGAUUUUCUGGAGACAAACAACUGCGAAAGCAUUUGCCUAAAAUACUUCCAUUAAUCAAGAACGAAAGUUAAGGGAGUGAAGACGAUCAGAUACCGUCGUAAUCUUAACCAUAAACUAUGCCGACUAGGCUUUGGAUGAAAGAUUUUAAAAUAAGAGUUUUUCUUUUCUCUCCGGAGAUUAGAACUCUUAGAUUGCUUCCUUCAGUGCCUUAUGAGAAAUCAAAGUCUUUGGGUUCUGGGGCGAGUAUUCGCGCAAGCGAGAAAGUUAAAAGAAUUGACGGAAGGGCACCACCAGGCGUGGAGCUUGCGGCUUAAUUUGACUCAACACGGGAAAACUCACUAGUUUAAGACAAGAGUAGGAUUGACAGAUUAAUAGCUCUUUCUUGAUUUCUUGGAUGGUGAUGCAUGGGCCGUCUUUAGUUCGUGAAUAUGAUUUGUCUGGUUAAUUCCGAUAACGAACGAGAUCUUAACCUGCUAAUUAGCGGCAAAUACGAUAUAUUCUUAUGUAGAAUUGAAUAUAGUGGAUUUGUUAGAUUUUGAAGAAAAUAUUGGAAUUACGUUAAAUGUGAUUCCUUUCCCUUUUCUACUUAAUUUACAUUUCCAUCUAUUUCUUUUUUGCGUAUGAAUGUAUUUGCUUGAUUGUAAAGCUUCUUAGAGGAACGAUGUGUG
rnacentral:rRNA from 1 species